GGCCGCCGUGCUACGUGCAGCCGCCGCCGGUCUUGGGUAGCCCGGGCCGAUGCAGGUGGGGGGAUGUCUCAGUGACAAGCCCAGGCCGCACCGGUAGAACCGCAGCUGGAGCGGCGCACGGAUAAAACCUCCUGUAGACGGACCCGUCCCAGCACAAGCCAUACCUGCAGUAACUUCUUGGCCAGCAUAGAUUGUUUCUGAAAUCAUCUGAACCAUGUGCCUUGGUCAUUAGAAGGAAAGACCACCAUUUAAUUACAGGAAAUGUAAUUCAGACAGACAACAUACUUUGUAGUAGAAAAAGAUAAUAUUUGGGUAUUCCAAACUGCCCAAGAGCCAAAGCAGGAGAACCUCAGAUGGCAAAGAUGGGAAGCGGAAGAAAAAAUGAGGCCUGUAGAAGACUUCUGUUCUGUUCUUUUCUGUUCUAUGAUCCUACUCUUUCUCCAUAAACCACAACUGUUCUAUCUCUAGUACAUUAUUCAUACUUGCUGGUCUUCCAUUAAUAGAUUAGUUCAGCUGGAAAGGACCUACAACAAUCAUUUAGUCCAACUGCCAGAGAAAUUUAGGACUGACCAAAAGUUAUGCACCUAACUUUUACACAUUUUACUCAAGCGCGUUUUACUCAAGUUAUUGUCCAAAUGCCUCUUAAACACCAACAGCAUGGGGCAUUGACCACUCCCUAUUAAGCCUGUUCCAGUGUUUGACCACCCCGUUGGUAAAGAAAUGUUACUUAAUAUAUAGUCUGAGCCUCCCUUGAUGCCACUUCAAACCAUCCUGAUGCAUCCUGCUACUGGAUACCAGGGAGAAGAGAUCAGCACAGAUUUCAUGCUGUACAUGCUAUGUCUUCCCACUGUCUUGUCUCCACUAAUAUUCUGACCUGAUUUAUUUACUAAAACCCCCACACCCAACCCCAACAUAGCCAACAUUAAUUGGAUUAGAAUCUGAUUGUCACAUUAAAAAAAUCGCUGAGCAAACACAGCCUUUUAACAGUGCAGUCACAGUUAGCAAAGUUCCUAGAUAAACUGUUCUCUAUGCAGUAAUGAAUGUAUUACAAAUUGUGAUCCAUUAAACAAAGCAAGUACAAAAACAGUGUCAGUAAGAGUUGCAGAUAACUGAAAAAGUAUAGUAAGUAAAAAAUGACAGGAAGAAAUCAGUUAUGCAUCAUUUCAAGGAGCAACUGUAGAGUAUGUAUUUUAUUUAUUACAUCAAGGCAAUUUUAAGUGUGCAACAGGGCACCUAAUCACUCUACAGUAAAUGAAAGGUGUCUCUUUACAUUGAAGUUACCAUGAAAUACUAGUUGCAGUGCAGUAAUAAUACACAAAAACAUCAACUGGGAAUACUGCACAGUGGACACAAAUAGGUCCAGGAAUUUCCUGAAGCACGUGGAAGAUAACUUUGUCCGGGUACUACAGGAGUUGACUACGAAAUAUACCCUCCUAAAAAACCAAAACAAAAAAAAACCAAAUAAACAAACAAACAAAAAAAAAAAAACCACCAAAAAACCAAAAUCAGUAUUUUUAAUUAUAAAAGAAUAUAAAAGUACAGUGAAGAGAUCCAAGUUUAUCACACAGUUUUGAUUUUAUGAGGCAAGGUUUUGGCAGUGGAAGAACUGCACGGGUGGAUGAGACCAGGGGCUGCACCAGUGAAGCUGGUGGUGCCUCUGUGAAAAAUGUAAUUAAGAAAGGAUAAAAAAUGCUGCCCAGUGACUGUGAAAGAGAAAAAAACAUGGAAACAAUGAUCCUGCAGCCACCAAAGUCAACGAAGAAGGAGCAGAAGGAGGUACUCCAAGCACUGAAGCAGAUGUGCCCCUGCCACUCAUAGAGGACCAUGUUGGAGCAGAGGAAAGAUUCCACACUUCAGCGCAUGGAGGACACUAUGCUGCAGCAGGUGGAGAUGCUCUGAAGGAAGCUGCAGCCCUUAGAGGGCCCACAUCAGUGCUGCAGCCUGUGGAGAGGGGCCCACACCAGAGAAGGUUUUCUGGAAGGAACUGUGGCCUGUGGGAGACCCAUGCUGAAGCAGUCUGUUCCUGAAGGACUCUACUCCAAGAAUGACCCAAGUCGGAGCAGUUCACAAAGGACUGUAACAUCUGGGAGGGACCCCACGCUGGAGCAGAGGAACAUUGUGAGCAGGGAAGAGUGGCAGAGAGGAACUCUUACGGACCCGUCCACAACUCCCAUUUCCCCAUCCUCCCUAUGCCACUCAGAGUGGACAAGAGGGUGGACAAAUCAGGAAUAAAGGAAUGAAGUUGAACCUGGGAAGAAGGCUGGGAGUGGGACAGAAGGUAUUUUUAAGUUAUGUCACCAUCCUACUGUAUUUUAAAUCGGCAAUAAAUUAUUUAUUUCUCCAA
ensembl:lncRNA